rnacentral:misc_RNA from 1 species
CAACCCUCAAGCCCCCGGGCUUGGUGUUGGAGAUCGGCGUGCCCCCCCCGGGGCGCGCCGGCUCCCAAAUAUAGUGGCGGUCUCGCUGUAGCUUCCUCUGCGUAGUAGCACACCUCGCACUGGAAAACAGCGUGGCCACGCCGUUAAACCCCCCACUUCUGAAAGGUUGCCCUCGUCUCCGGUUGUCUUUCCCUCUGCACUUUC